rnacentral:rRNA from 1 species
UACAGAGGUCCCAAGCGUUGUUCGGAUUCAUUGGGCGUAAAGGGUGCGUAGGCGGCGCGGUAAGUCGGGUGUGAAAUCUCGGGGCUUAACUCCGAAACUGCAUUCGAUACUGCCGUGCUUGAGGACUGGAGAGGAGACUGGAAUUUACGGUGUAGCGGUGAAAUGCGUAGAUAUCGUAAGGAAGACCAGUGGCGAAGGCGGGUCUCUGGACAGGUCCUGACGCUGAGGCACGAAGGCCAGGGGAGCAAACGGG